rnacentral:rRNA from 1 species
UACGUAGGGUGCAAGCGUUAAUCGGAAUUACUGGGCGUAAAGCGUGCGCAGGCGGUUUUGUAAGUCUGUCGUGAAAGCCCCGGGCUCAACCUGGGAAUUGCGAUGGAGACUGCAAGGCUUGAAUCUGGCAGAGGGGGGUAGAAUUCCACGUGUAGCAGUGAAAUGCGUAGAGAUGUGGAGGAACACCGAUGGCGAAGGCAGCCCCCCUGGGUCAAGAUUGACGCUCGAUGCACGAAAGCGUGGGGAGCGAACAGG